rnacentral:lncRNA from 1 species
GCUGAAAAUGAAGAGCUUGAAAGAUAUUCCAUGCAGUGGAAACCAAUAGGGAGAUAUGGUGGCUAAACUUAUGUCAAACAAAAUGGACUUUAUGUUUAUCUGGUAGAGAUAUUUGUGAAACCAUGUUUUCUGCAGCAUUAUUCACAAGAGUUAAGAUAUGGAAAUAACAUAAGCAGCCCUAAGAGAUGAAUAUUGUGAUGUGUGUGUGCACACACACAUGCACACAUACAUUAGGCAUUCUUUAAAAAGGAAGAUUUUGUUGUUUUAAAUGACACAGAUGAAACUGGAGGAUAUUAUGCUAAAAGAAGUGAAACAAGUCAAACAUAGAAAGAAAAAUACUGUGUGAUCUCAUAUGUAAAAUCUGGAGGAAAAAAUGUGUACAUUGAAACAAAGAGUAAAAUGAAUGUUCGUAGAAUGGUAAGAGGUAGCUCAAAGGAUACAAAGCUGGAUUUACAUAAAAUGAAUAAGUCUAGAGAUCUAAUGUACAUCAUGGGUAAUAUAGUUAAUAAUAUUGGAUUUAUGUUGAGAACUUGCUAAGAAAGUAUAUUUUAGGUGCUCUUACCACACAUACCCACACACAAAGGUAACUUAUGAGAUGAUGGCUGUUAAUUAGCUUGACUAUAGAAACCAUUUCACUAGGUAUACAAAAACCUCAUGCUAUAAUUGUAAAUAUACAUGAAACUGAAAAUGAAAUAGAAUGUCAAAAUAAAAAAAUAUAUAUUUUUUAAAAAGUCUUGUUUAAAAUCAAUUCAAAAAAUGAGAAGAAAAAUAAAGACUAGAUACAAUGAAUAAUAAACUGUUGAAGAUAUAAUGGGUAUAAUCCAAAUAUAUAACUUCAUUUUAAAAAUCACUUUUAAAGUGAUUUAAAUAAAUUCACUAACUAAAAGACAGACUAUGAGAAUGGAUCGAAUAAAAUAAAAAUAAAAUAAACAAGAUUGCUAGCUGGAUAUGAUGACAUACACCUUCAGUCCAAACUACUCAAGAGAUGGAGGCAGGAAGAUCACUUGAGUCCAGGAGUUGGAGGUCAGCCUGAGCAACAUAGUAAGACCCCAUUUCAAAAAAGUUUUAAAAUUUUUUUUAAAUGUCACCUACAAGAUACAUUAAAUAUAAUGAUACAAAUAAACUAAAAAUAAAGGGAUGUAUAAAAUGUAUUAUUCUAACACUAAUCUAACAGAAAACAGAUGUAGUUUUAUUAGUUUCAGACAAAUCAGCCUUCAAAAUAAGAAAAAUUAUCAGGGAUAAAAAGGGAAUUCCAUAAUAACAAAGGGAAGGGUCAAUUCUCCCAGAAGACACAAUAAUCUUUAAGAUGUAUAUAUUUUAAAAGAGUAUCAAAAUAUAUAAGGCAAAAACUGCAAUGAGAAACAGCUGAAUUCACUAGUAAUGUUGAAGACUUCAACACCUCCCUUUCAUUAAUUGACAGAUUUAGCAGGUAGGAAAAUCAUCAAUAAUAUCUUUGACUUGAGCAACACCAUCAUUUAACUUGAUCCAAC